AUUAAUAACAGAGGUCGUGUACCUCACUAAUUAAU
rfam:Galbibacter marinus strain ck-I2-15 contig16, whole genome shotgun sequence.